rnacentral:rRNA from 1 species
UAGGGAAUCUUCCGCAAUGGGCGAAAGCCUGACGGAGCAACGCCGCGUGAGUGAUGAAGGUCUUCGGAUCGUAAAACUCUGUUAUUAGGGAAGAACAAAUGUGUAAGUAACUAUGCACGUCUUGACGGUACCUAAUCAGAAAGCCACGGCUAACUACGUGCCAGCAGCCGCGGUAAUACGUAGGUGGCAAGCGUUAUCCGGAAUUAUUGGGCGUAAAGCGCGCGUAGGCGGUUUUUUAAGUCUGAUGUGAAAGCCCACGGCUCAACCGUGGAGGGUCAUUGGAAACUGGAAAACUUGAGUGCAGAAGAGGAAAGUCGAAUUCCAUGUGUAGCGGUGAAAUGCGCAGAGAUAUGGAGGAACACCAGUGGCGAAGGCGACUUUGUGGUCUGUAACUGACGCUGAUGUGCGAAAGCGUGGGGAUCAAACAGG